UACGGGGGGGGCAAGCGUUGUUCGGAAUUACUGGGCGUAAAGGGCUCGUAGGUGGCCAACUAAGUCAGACGUGAAAUCCCUCAGCUUAACUGGGGAACUGCGUCUGAUACUGGAUGGCUUGAGUUUGGGAGAGGGAUGCGGAAUUCCAGGUGUAGCGGUGAAAUUCGUAGAUAUCGAGAGGAACACCGGUGGCGAAGGCGGCCAACUGGACGAAUACUGACGCUGAGGAGCGAAAGCGUGGGGAGCAAACAGG
rnacentral:rRNA from 1 species